CCAAAAUUGGUAUGGCAUGACAUGAGUGCGCGACGAACACAAAGGAUAGGUCAUGCACUGUAUAUACCGGAAUAUAGGUUUAAUUAGCAUGGUAUAUA
rnacentral:lncRNA from 1 species